CAGUAGCCGCGGGAAAACGUAGGGUGCAAGCGUUAAUCGGAAUUACUGGGCGUAAAGCGUGCGCAGGCGGUGUUGUAAGACUGAUGUGAAAUCCCCGGGCUCAACCUGGGAACUGCAUUGGUGACUGCAACGCUGGAGUGCGGCAGAGGGGGAUGGAAUUCCGCGUGUAGCAGUGAAAUGCGUAGAUAUGCGGAGGAACACCGAUGGCGAAGGCAAUCCCCUGGGCCUGCACUGACGCUCAUGCACGAAAGCGUGGGGAGCAAACAGGAUUAGAUACCCCCGUAGUCCCUGUCUCUUAUAA
rnacentral:rRNA from 1 species